rnacentral:rRNA from 1 species
GAUGAACGCUGGCGGCGUGCCUAAUACAUGCAAGUCGAGCGAACAGACGAGGAGCUUGCUCCUCUGACGUUAGCGGCGGACGGGUGAGUAACACGUGGAUAACCUACCUAUAAGACUGGGAUAACUUCGGGAAACCUGAGCUAAUACCGGAUAAUAUAUUGAACCGCAUGGUUCAAUAGUGAAAGACGGUUUUGCUGUCACUUAUAGAUGUAUCCGCGCCGCAUUAGCUAGUUGGUAAGGUAACGGCUUACCAAGGCGACGAUGCGUAGCCGAACUGAGAGGGUGAUCAGCCACACUGGAACUGAGACACGGUCCAGACUCCUACGGGAGGCAGCAGUAGGGAAUCUUCCGCAAUGGGCGAAAGCCUGACGGAGCAACGCCGCGUGAGUGAUGAAGGUCUUCGGAUCGUAAAACUCUGUUAGUAGGGAAGAACAAAUGUGUAAGUAACUAUGCACGUCUUGACGGUACCUAAUCAGAAAGCCACGGCUAACUACGUG